rnacentral:rRNA from 1 species
UACGGAGGGUGCUAGCGUUGUUCGGAAUUACUGGGCGUAAAGGGCGCGUAGGCGGCCGUUUGCGUCGGAUGUGAAAGCCCGGGGCUCAACCUCGGAACGGCAUUCGAUACGGGACGGCUGGAGACCGGGAGAGGAGAGUGGAAUAGCCAGUGUAGAGGUGAAAUUCGUAGAUAUUGGCUGGAACACCGGUGGCGAAAGCGGCUCUCUGGCCCGGUACUGACGCUGAGGUGCGAAAGCGUGGGGAGCAAACAGG